rnacentral:rRNA from 1 species
UACGAAGGGGGCUAGCGUUGCUCGGAUUGACUGGGCGUAAAGGGCGCGUAGGCGGUUCGUACAGUCAGACGUGAAAUUCCUGGGCUCAACCUGGAGGCUGCGUUUGAUACGUGCGGGCUUGAGUUCGGAAGAGGGUCGUGGAAUUCCCAGUGUAGAGGUGAAAUUCGUAGAUAUUGGGAAGAACACCGGUGGCGAAGGCGGCGACCUGGUCCGAUACUGACGCUGAGGCGCGAAAGCGUGGGGAGCAAACAGG